rfam:Stegodyphus mimosarum contig76191, whole genome shotgun sequence.
GCCUUCGUGGUGUAACGGUAGCACACUCGGCGCGUAUUCGAGAGGUCCAGAUUCGAGUCCCGGCGAAGGCA